CCUACGGGAGGCAGCAGUCGAGAAUCAUUCACAAUGGGGGAAACCCUGAUGGUGCGACGCCGCGUGGGGGAAUGAAGGUCUUCGGAUUGUAAACCCCUGUCAUGUGGGAGCAAAUUAAAAAGAUAGUACCACAAGAGGAAGAGACGGCUAACUCUGUGCCAGCAGCCGCGGUAAUACAGAGGUCUCAAGCGCUGUUCGGAAUCACUGGGCGUAAGGCGUGCGUAGGCUGUUUCGUAAGUCGUGUGUGAAAGGCGCGGGCUCAACCCGCGGACGGCACAUGAUACUGCGAGACUAGAGUAAUGGAGGGGGAACCGGAAUUCUCGGUGUAGCAGUGAAAUGCGUAGAUAUCGAGAGGAACACUCGUGGCGAAGGCGGGUUCCUGGACAUUAACUGACGCUGAGGCACGAAGGCCAGGGGAGCGAAAGGGAUUAGAUACCCCUGUAGUC
rnacentral:rRNA from 1 species